rnacentral:rRNA from 1 species
GAUGAACGCUGGCGGCGUGCCCAAUACAUGCAAGUCGAGCGAACAGACGAGGAGUUUGCUCCUCUGACGUUAUCGGCGGACGGGUGAGUAACACGUGGAUAACCUACUUAUAAGACUGGGAUAACUUCGGGAAACCGGAGCUAAUACUGGAUAAUACAUUGAACCGUAUUGUUCAAUAGUGAAAGAUGGCUUUGUUUUUACUUAUAUAUGGAUCCUCGCCGAAUUGGUUAGUUGGUAAGGUAACGGCUUACCAAGGCGACGACGCGUAGCCGACCUGAGAGGGUAAUCGGCAAGACUAGAACUGAGACGCGGUCCAAAAUCGUACGGGAGGAGGAAGUAGGGAAACUUACGCAAAAGGCGUAAGCCUGACGGAGAAACACAGCGUGAGUGAAGAAGGUCAAGGGAUCGUAAAGCACUGUUAUUGGGGAAAAACAGAGUAGUAGGUAACUAUGCACGUCUUGACGGUACCUAGUCAGAAAGCCACGGCUAACUAAGUG